rnacentral:tRNA from 1 species
GCCUGGGUGGCUCAGUCGGUUAAGCGUCUGACUUCAGCUCAGGUCACGAUCUCACGGUCUGUGAGUUCGAGCCCCGUGUCAGGCU